AACCAUGUUAGCUGAAUUCAAUAAAUCGUGUUAGUUUAAUCCAACAAUGUAAUUAUUAUAAUUUAAGUAAUUGUGUACCUCAUUUCCAAAUUGGCCAACUUCUGGUGAUGCAGGGUUUAAUUUAGAGUAUACAUUAUGUACAACACGUAUAAGGGUACCAUCAUCUCCAACACUGGGUCUGUAUUGGUAUCAAGGAUUCAAAUAAUAUGUUGUUCAAAGAAACACAUACUCUAAUAAGAGAAAUAAUACUUAUGCAACUAAAAAAAUGAAUUGCAAAUUAUGACAUAAUUUAUACUUGCUGCAUGCAAAUCGUGGUAUAAUGUUUUAUACCAUCGGUCAUUAAUUAUCUUUAUGACUCACCUUGCACCAUGUUUUCUUUCCAAGUCAUCCUUCACUACAUGCCUCAACUUAUAUAUUGCCCCCAUAGUAGGAUACACUUCUAUGUCAAUGAUCCGUAAAACUUUGUAAAGAGGUUCAAACACUUGGCAUACAUGUUCUGAUUGAGUCCAAAAAGCAUGAUCAAGCACUAUACUUUCCACCAUACGACCUGCAUUUGAGCGGCUUAAAUUGUGGUUGGCCCAA
rnacentral:lncRNA from 1 species